GGUUGAUACCAUUCCAUUGACGAUAUUCCAGCCAUUAAUAUGAGCCGUCCUCUCAGCAGCCCCCACUGCCUAGUUUAUAAAGGGAAAAACUUUAUUAAGCUACUUCGAUGUUGAAGAGACUUUCGUAGCAGGUUAGGAGACUGACGUUAACGUUAGGAAAAUUAUAAACUAAAACGCUUUCCUAACCUGCUAAGAAAAUCACUAUCGAAGUGGUUAAGUGUCCCUAGUUUCUAAGGUAACAUGAUGGAGAAAAGCCCUCAAGUUUACGACCUGUUAAAGUUCACGCCGACACAACAACUGACUAAGGCGACAAUUGCAAAUAAGUUUAAAACUUAGGUUACAUUUGAGCUGUCAGGCAGGUGAAUAUAUAUAUUUUUUGACGAUAAUCUUGGUCCAAUGAAGGCAUCCCGGUGUUGUGGAGAAGGUGGCCACGUGACGGAGCCAGGCUGCAAUACAGCUGUCGGUCGUUUAAUACACUGCGCCGGAGAAGCAAGCGGGGUAGAAAGACUCGACGAGAGAAGAAUAAAAUCUAUUCCGAACAAAUAUUAUACUCACUCGUUGCGACACAACAGACCAUGGACGGUUAUGCGCUGACAGAAGAUGAGCUGUUUUCCUCCUGCCUCCCGAAUCUCACCUGGGAGAAUUCCUACGAGCAGAUUAUCCACUUGUCCCUGAUGGGAGCCACUGCAGACCGUUCUGAAUCGUCUGUCAGAAAGCAAGAGAAAACCAACUCCAAUGGAAAACCAUUUAGUGAAGAAAAAAAACAAGCCAGACAGAUGAGAGAAAGAAAGA
rnacentral:lncRNA from 1 species